rnacentral:rRNA from 1 species
GCGUAAGCGUGCGCAGGCGGUUUUGUAAGUCAGAUGUGAAAUCCCCGGGCUUAACCUGGGAACUGCGUUUGAAACUACAAGGCUAGAGUGUAGCAGAGGGGGGUGGAAUUCCACGUGUAGCAGUGAAAUGCGUAGAGAUGUGGAGGAACACCGAUGGCGAAGGCAGCCCCCUGGGUUAACACUGACGCUCAGGCACGAAAGCGUGGGGAGCAAACAGGAUUAGAUACCCUGGUAGUCCACGCCCUAAACUAUGUCAACUAGUUGUCGGGCCUUAACGGGCUUGGUAACGCAGCUAACGCGUGAAGUUGACCGCCUGGGGAGUACGGUCGCAAGAUUAAAACUCAAAGGAAUUGACGGGGACCCGCACAAGCGGUGGAUUAUGUGGAUUAAUUCGAUGAUACGCGAGGAACCUUACCAAGGCUUAAAUGUAGUUUGACCGAUUUGGAAACAGAUCUUUCGCAAGACAAAUUACAAGGUGCUGCAUGGUUGUCGUCAGCUCGUGCCGUGAGGUGUCAGGUUAAGUCCUAUAACGAGCGCAACCCCUGUUGUUAGUUGCCAGCGAGUCAAGUCGGGAACUCUAACAAGACUGCCAGUGUAAACUGUGAGGAAGGU